AAAUUUUGGCUCAGAAGAUUAUUUGUUUUAUGUAAAAUUAUCUCUUUUCUGUUCUCAGGUUGCUUAUGAUGAAGCUACAGAUGAAUUUGCUUCUUACUUCAACAGGCAGACUUCUCCCAAGAUUCUCAUCACAACAUCAGAUAGGCCUCAUGGGAGAACAGUAAGACUCUGUGAACAGCUCUCCACAGUUAUACCAAACUCACAUGUUUAUUACAGAAGAGGACUGGCUCUGAAAAAAAUUAUUCCACAGUGCAUCUCAAGAGAUUUCACAGACCUGAUUGUUAUUAAUGAAGAUCGUAAAACUCCCAGUAUCCUUUGGUUUUUUUAAGGCAAUUUUCCUGUCCCCUUCGUCAUCCCCUUUUAAAAUAUAUUUUAAAAAAACAAGGAAAUAUUUCCUAUAACUUCAGAAAAUAAUUUUUUUUUUGGCCAAAAAAUUACACAUCUCUAUCCAAAAUUCUGUAAACUGAUUUUUCCUUUAUAUUCAGCAAACAUUGAUCAGGCACAUGUUAAGACACUGUUUUAAUCCUUACUAAAAGAUUCAGAG